rfam:Human gut metagenome DNA, contig sequence: F1-S_002748.
AUGCAAAUAACCUGAAACCCCUCUUGGAUAUGUGAAUACCUGAUUGGCGGUAGUUAUGUUACUCAAAACAUAGAGCAGGCUAAAAAA